AUGUUUCACCUGUGUCUCACCUGUGUGUGCAGAACGCUCCUCCUCCUCCUCCUCCUCACCUGUGUCUCACCUGUCCUUGUCCCUCACCUGUUCCUGAGUCUCACCGGUCCCACCUGUGUCUCACCUGUCCCUGACCCUCACCUAUCUUUGCCUCACCCGUCCCCUCACCUGUCCCUCACCUGUGUGUGCAGAACCCUCCUCCUCCUCACCUGUCCCCUCAUCUGUCCCACCUGUGUCUCACCUGUCCCUCACCUGUCCCACCUGUGUCUCACCCGUGUCUCACCUGUGUGUGCAGAACCCUCCUCCUUCUCACCUGUCCCUCACCUGUCCCACCUGUCACCUGUCCUUGUCCCUCACCUGUGUCUCACCUGUGUCACCUGUCCUUACCUUUCACCUGUCUCACCUGCCCCACCUGUGUCUCACCUGUGCCCUCACUCGUCUCACCUGUCCCACCUGUCUCACCUGUCCCCGUGUCUCACCUGUCCUCAUCCCUCACCUGUCCCUGUGUCUCACCUGUGGGUGCAGGACCCUCCUCCUCCUCACCUGUCUCUCACCUGUCCCACCUGUGUCUCACCUGUCGCACCAGUGUCCCACCUGUCCCUGUGUCUCACCUGUGUGUGCAGAAUCCUCCUCUUCCUCACUUAUGCCCUCACCUGUGCCUCACCUGUCCCCAGUGCAUCUCACCUGUGUGAGCAGGGCCCUCACCUGUCCCUCACCUGUGUCUCACCUGUCCCUGACCCUCACCUGUCUGUGUCUCACCUGUCCCACCUGUGUCUCACCUGUCCCUGUGUCUCACCUGUGUGUGCAGAACCCUCCUCCUCACCUGUGUCUCACCUGUCUCCUCACCUUUCCCAGGUGUCUCACCUGUCCCUCACCUGUCCCCUCACCUGUGUCACCUGUCCCACCUGUGUCCAACCUGUGUCUCACCUAUCCCACCUGUCCCCUCACCUGUGUCACCGGUCCAACCUGUGUCCAACCUGUGUCUCACCUGUGGGUGCAGAACCCUCCUCCUCCUCACAUGUCCCUCACCUGUCCCACCUGUGUCUCACCAUCUCUCACCUGUCCCUCACUGUGACCAAUUCAUUCAGCGAAUUUUUAAGUGAAUUUUUGGGGUAAGUUCAGUGAAUUUUGGGGAAAAAUCUUCGGGAUUUUUAGGGAAUUUUUAGGGAUUUUUUGGGGAUUUUUGGGAGAUUUUUUGGGUUUUUGGUGUGCCUCACUGUUCCCAAUUCAGCAAAUUUUUAAAGGAAUUUUUGGGGUCAGUUCAGUGAAUUUUGAGUAAAAUCCUUGGGAUUUUUAGGGAAUUUGUAGGGACUUUUUGGGGGGAUUUUUUAGGGAUUUUUGGGGGAUUUUUUGGGUUUUUGGUGUCUCCCACCUGUCCCUCACUGUGCCCAAUUAAGUGAAUUAUUCAGUGAAUUUUUGGGGUUAGUUCAGUGAAUUUUGGGGUAAAAUCUUUGGGGUCUUGAGGUAAAAUACUUGGGAAUUUUAGGGAUUUUUUUGGGGAUUUUUGGGGGGAUUUUGGGGGGUUUUUGGUGUCUCCCAGCUGUCCCUCACUGUGCCCAAUUCAGCGAAUUUAUAAAGGAAUUUCUGGGGUCAGUUCAGUGAAUUUUGAGUAAAAUCCUUGGGAUUUUUAGGGAAUUUUUAGGGAUUUUUCGGGGGAUUUUUGGG
rnacentral:lncRNA from 1 species